GCACAAACUGUCAUGGCUGCACUCCUUCCUCAUCCUCAGGCUGUUGGGAGCUAAUCAGGUGAUGAGGGACACCUGUUUACCUCCCUUCAUUAGGAGCUGCUGCCCUCCACUCUCUGUCAGUUUGUCACAAGCCUUCCAUGGAGCAACAACCUUGUUCAUGUGAACCAUUUUUGCUGACCUGUGAAUCUGUCUCUAAAAAACCCCUGCACUGCACUGGAACUUUUAAAACUACGAGUCUUGCCCCAGCACCUGUACCUCCUGCCGUUUCCUCUUCCUACCUGGACAGCCUGAAGGACAUCCUCCUGCACCACCCUCAACGUCAGCCCUCUGCUGUGCACUCCCUCCAUCUCCUCGUUGGCCCCCUCUGUUGAUCUUUGUUCAUGACCUUUCACCACCAAUGCCUGAGCGCCCCCCGCUGACUGAAGGCUGUCUCUCCCGAGUUCCUGGUCCUGCCUGAGCCAAAUAAACACUUUAAAUACUUAC